CCUACGGGAGGCAGCAGUGGGGAAUAUUGGACAAUGGGCGAAAGCCUGAUCCAGCCAUGCCGCGUGUGUGAAGAAGGCCUUCGGGUUGUAAAGCACUUUCAGUGGGGAAGAAAGCCUUGGGGCUAAUACCCUCGAGGAAGGACAUCACCCACAGAAGAAGCACCGGCUAACUCCGUGCCAGUAGCCGCGGUAAUACGGAGGGUGCGAGCGUUAAUCGGAAUUACUGGGCGUAAAGCGCGCGUAGGCGGUCUGAUAAGCCGGUUGUGAAAGCCCCGGGCUCAACCUGGGAACGGCAUCCGGAACUGUCAGGCUAGAGUGCAGGAGAGGAAGGUAGAAUUCCCGGUGUAGCGGUGAAAUGCGUAGAGAUCGGGAGGAAUAUCAGUGGCGAAGGCGGCCUUCUGGACUGACACUGACGCUGAGGUGCGAAAGCGUGGGUAGCAAACAGGAUUAGAUACCCCUGUAGUC
rnacentral:rRNA from 1 species